GGGAUUUUGACUGAAAAUGGCUUUCAUAGCAAAGUCAGAUCUUUAUUAUUGGAUGUGACAAUUCCAUUGACAAAGAAUGAAUGGCAAGGUGAUUUCAUAAUUAGGUCUUUAUUUGAACAAGGAUACACCCAGAAGGAGAUGUUAAUGAUGCGUGACAGUAAUUUCGAUAUAAAAAUUUUAGAUCGACACUUAAGGCGAAUUUUGAAACGUUUAGGAUUAAGGCGAAGAUGUAAUGACCGCCCUUUUGAAGCAAUUUUUCAGGCGGUUCAGGGUGAGCUUCAAAACUGGUCUCCUUUUAAAGGUAUAAGAGCAAUGCACAAGCGCAUUAGCGAUGUUAGAGGAGUUCAACCCUGCUAUAGGUAAUAUAUAUAUAUAUU